AACAUUAUGAGGAGACCAAGUAUUCAAUCAACUUUGUCGUAAAACUUUCAACUCUGUCCCGAGAUCUGUAGUCCCAUGGGCGAUCAUUUGCACUGUGCCGUUAAAUAUUUACUUCAUUCAACCUCCUGGCAAAGUUUCUGUGUUUAUUAAAGGCUAGCAUGACAAAAUAUAUUUUAUCUUAACAGAACUUACUUAUUUACAAAAUCCCUCUUCUUUUUCGCGUUUAAGAUGACUAAAAAGUAGACUCUACCAGAUCCGAAGGUUGAUAAAAUCUCACUUCGAUCGACUAAACAAUUCGUUGAGAAAAAUGUUCAAAUUUUUCUUCAAUAAGAUAUUUCUAUGAACCAUACGAAGACAUCCAUGAACUAUAUACAUGGCCAUCUGGAGUUACAACUCUGCAAUAAAUAAUAGAUGGGUAAAUGGUAUAACUGAAAUGAUGAAUGUAAGGCUUCCUUGGAUAAGCGUACCAUUUUGUUUACAAUACCUUUAAAAAAGUAAUCGUCCCCCAUACUGGUGACAUUAACUCAAUUUUUCAAUGCUAUUAUAUACUGUACUGACCUUUCAUUUCCAAAGACUCAUACCACCAAACAUCACGAGAUUCUCCUGUGCAUUCGACAGGGAAUUGCAAGUCCCGAUCUGGAGGGAUUUAGAGAGAAGUUUGCGAAUAUUAGCUUUUAUUCAAACCGGCAGUGAAUCUGAGUGAAUCUAGUCUAUGAAAUGAAGUCAUCAGAUCUUCAGCGAGAACUCAAAUGAAAGGGACGGUCAGGGAACAUACGCACCCUCUCCGAAAGGCUCGAAUUAGCAAGAUACUCGAGUGGCCUGCGCAAGAUGAGCCCGAAAGCAAACAUCGAAUGCUAAGAAAUCCCUUGCCGUUCAUACACAUCUAUAUUUAUGGAAUAUUUCCAACGCGUUAAAUGGUCUUUGAAGGGAAAAGUAUACAUGCGGUGCAUGCAAACUUUCAUGCUUGGUUUUCAACGGCCGCCAUCUUUGCUUCGUCAUUAAACGUAUUUUUGUCAAAUGUAAAUUGUAGAGCUGUUGUUCACUUAGAAACUUUCAGUCUCUCUUGACAACUCCUUAAAUUACAACCUCGAACUUGGAAAAAUAAAUCAUCCAAAUCAAGUUGUAUAAAUGUUAGUAUUUUGAUCGGAAUGAGGAGAGAGAGGUUUCGUUAUCUCUCUCUCUCUCUCCCUUAGUUUCAAUUUUCUACCGAACUCGUUUCGCCAAGCUUGAACUGGAAUGAUUUGAGCAUGUAUCUCUAACAAAGACUGCUUUCUUUCUUUGUGAUAAUCUGGAGAAAGGGUUCUCCUGCUGUACAAUAUUAUUACAACAUGUGUGAUGCUGGCUUCGAUUGCGUGCAAAAGCAAACAUGGUGAAGGAUGUACUUUUUAUUUGCGAACUUGAAAUCAUAUCAAGGCUGACAAAAUACAACUACACUUUUGA